GACGAACGCUGGCGGCGUGCUUAACACAUGCAAGUCGAGCGGUAAGGCCCUUUCGGGGGUACGACGAGCGGCGAACGGGUAGAGUAACACGUGGGUGGACCUGCCCUCCAGCUCUGGGAGUAAGCCUGGGAAACCGGGUACUAAUACUGGAUAUGACUCCAUGACGCAUGUUGUGGGGUGGAAAGCCUUGUGCGGCUGAGGAUGGGCCCGCGGCCUAUCAGC
rnacentral:rRNA from 1 species